rnacentral:rRNA from 1 species
AAUCAACGCUGGCGGCGUGCCUAACACAUGCAAGUCGAACGGGCGUAGCAAUACGUCAGUGGCAGACGGGUGAGUAACGCGUGGGAACGUACCUUUUGGUUCGGAACAACCCAGGGAAACUUGGGCUAAUACCGGAUAAGCCCUUACGGGGAAAGAUUUAUCGCCGAAAGAUUGGCCCGCGUCUGAUUAGCUAGUUGGUGAGGUAACGGCUCACCAAGGCGACGAUCAGUAGCUGGUCUGAGAGGAUGAUCAGCCACAUUGGGACUGAGACACGGCCCAAACUCCUACGGGAGGCAGCAGUGGGGAAUAUUGGACAAUGGGCGGCAAGCCUGAUCCAGCCAUGCCGCGUGAGUGAUGAAGGCCCUAGGGUUGUAAAGCUCUUUCGACGGGGACGAUGA